rnacentral:rRNA from 1 species
UGGGGAAUUUUGCACAAUGGGGGAAACCCUGAUGCAGCGACGCCGCGUGAUUUAGAAGGCCUUCGGGUUGUAAAAAUCUUUUUUAUGGGAUGAAAAUGACAGUACCAUAAGAAUAAGGUCCGGCUAAAUACGUGCCAGCAGCCGCGGUAAUACGUAUGGACCGAGCGUUGUCCGGAAUCAUUGGGCGUAAAGGGUACGUAGGCGGCCCAGUAAGUUAGAAGUGAAAUAAUAUAGCUCAACUAUAUAUAGCUUUUAAAACUGCUAGGCUUGAGAGAUGGAAGGGAAAGUGGAAUUCCUAGUGUAGCGGUGAAAUGCGCAGAUAUUAGGAGGAAUACCGGUGGCGAAGGCGACUUUCUGGCCAUAUACUGACGCUGAGGUACGAAAGCGUGGGUAGCAAACAGG